GUCUACAAAAGUAACUUCCUUGAGAGAGCAGUAAAAACCCCAACCCUAGUUUUUUAUUUUUGUUCCAAAGGUGAAACCUUCUUUUUCAAAGAAUCUAAAAUCCACAUUCUUUCCGGUUUCAACCUUCCUAUCAGAUAAAGGGAUUUUGCUAGGGCUAAGGGGAGACUGAGAGGGACCUUGAGCUGCACAGAAGCCAGAAUGGGAGCAGUGGAGGACUGAGCAGCUUGCCUUUUUCUGCGGAUGUUUUCUUCCAGCUCACAGACCAAUUUUUUUCUCUGAGGGAGCUUCAUCUUUGGAGCCAUUCUCACCACAACAGUAGGCAGGGAGACUCGGAGGAUCAAGUGGAUGAGUAGAAGAAGGGUUACAAAAGGAUGGAGAGGGAUUUUGGCGGAGAGAAGAGGCGGUUUUGAGAAGAACGGUGGAGGCUAGGGCACGCUCCAACCGCUUCAAUCAAAGGGGAAAGAUGCAAAAAUCUCCUUUCUCAGGCGGUGAUUUGUGGUGGAGAGGAGAAGGGAAAAAUAUUCUUGAGCUAAAUCCUUGGUUUUGGAGAGAAUGAGGAUGAGGAUGACGGUUCUUGGAGGGAGGAAGACGAAGUGAAUGAGUCGGCUCAUGAACAGGCUUCAAGUUAAAAGGAAAGAGCCCGUGGGAAGUUGGCAAUAAUUUCA
rnacentral:lncRNA from 1 species